UUCCGGUUGAUCCUGCCGGAGGCCACUGCUAUCGGAGUACGACUUAGCCAUGCGAGUCACAGGGGCGCAAGCCACUGGCAGACGGCUCAGUAACACGUAGGUAACCUACCCUUCGGACGGGCACAACCCCGGGAAACUGGGGCUAAUUCCCGAUAGGUACCCCCUUCUGGAAUGUGGGGAUAUCCAAAGCUCCGGCGCCGAAGGAUGGGCCUGCGGCCGAUUAGGUUGUUGGCGGGGUAACAGCCCACCAAGCCGACGAUCGGUACGGGCAGUGAGAGCUGUAGCCCGGAGAUGGGGACUGAGACAAGGCCCCAGGCCCUACGGGGCGCAGCAGGCGCGAAACCUUCACAAUGCACGAAAGUGUGAUGAGGGUACUCCGAGUGCGCAUACAUUGUAUGUGCUUUUCUGCAGCGUAAAUAGUUGCAGGAAUAAGGGCUGGGCAAGACCGGUGCCAGCCGCCGCGGUAACACCGGCAGCCCUAGUGGUGGCCGCUUUUAUUGGGCCUAAAGCGUCCGUAGCCGGACAGGCGAGUCUUUGGGUAAAUCCUACGUCUUAAGCGUGGGAAUUCUAAAGAUACUACCUGUCUUGAGGCCGGGAGAGGCUGGAGGUACUCCUGGGGUAGGGGUAAAAUCCUAUAAUCCUGGGGGGACCACCGAUGGCGAAGGCAUCCAGCUGGAACGGGCCUGACGGUGAGGGACGAAACCCAGGGGAGCGAGCCGGAUUAGAUACCCGGGUAGUCCUGGGCGUAAAUGAUGUGGGCUUGGUGUGAGCGCAUCGACGAGGUGCGCUUGUGCCGUAGGGAAGCCGUUAAGCCCACCGCCUGGGGAGUACGGUCGCAAGGCUGAAACUUAAAGGAAUUGGCGGGGGAGCACAAUCGUCGAACG
rnacentral:rRNA from 1 species